UACGUAGGGAGCAAGCGUUGUCCGGAAUCAUUGGGCGUAAAGCGCGCGUAGGCGGCCCUGUAAGUCCGCUGUGAAAGUCAAAGGCUCAACCUUUGAAAGCCGGUGGAUACUGCAGGGCUAGAGUCCGGAAGAGGCGAGUGGAAUUCCUGGUGUAGCGGUGGAAUGCGCAGAUAUCAGGAGGAACACCAAUAGCGAAGGCAGCUCGCUGGGACGGUACUGACGCUGAUGCGCGAAAGCGUGGGGAGCAAACAGG
rnacentral:rRNA from 1 species